AUUAUCACGAGACCUCUCUGGAAAACUGGACUGCUGUAUCUCCGUGUGUCUUUCUCUCCCGAUUCUUCUCAUCUUCUCCCUCUCCACAUGGUGGCAGAAAAGAUCUCAUCCACAUCCCCUUGCCCGGUCUCCACCUCCACCGGCCCUCCGCCCCUCUCCUCCCCAGUCCCCCUUCCCCCAGCGGGCAGCCUCGAGUUCCCCUCGAGUCGCCGGACCAGCAGAGAUCGUGGCGCUGCUACGGGAGAGCUGCGGCACUGGCGGGCAGAAGGAGGCUGCACAAGGGAUGUAGCCGCUUUUGUCUCGCAGCAUCGGUGCCGAUGCGAUCCAGGACGAGCGUCAUGGCGUUCAAUCUGGCUUGAGGACGGGGUGGUUCAAGAUUAGACAGAGGAGUUCUUCGUGGGGUGGCCUUCCCAUAUUUUUUUUGGCUCCAGGUGACACCUGGCUAUGCUACAUGUGGAUCUGGUGAGUUUUGUUAGCUUCGUCCCUAGACUUCGACUGAUUCCAUGUGGCAACCGGCAAAGUUUGUUUGCUGAUUUCAUAACUGGAGAAUGGUGAAAUACAACGGUAAACAUGGGAAGCAUGACCGCCACCGCAGAGACAUCGAAUGCCUUUUACCAAGGUGCUCCUCCUCUAGAGAGUACCAAGGUGUUUUUGAUUUUCCUACUGCUAUUCUUUGUUGCUACCAAUUGUUGAGUUUCUGAAGAAGAAAAUGCAUUGGGGCUUCAUGUGCAGGUCAAUUCGAAUACGGUACACGAGUUUCUGCAAGAUGUAUCAUCUAUGGCUGAUAACAAUCCAAGUCAUAAUUUUUGCACCAAGGUAAUUGUGGAAAUUAAUUAAUCAUGUAUGCUAAUGACUGAUCCAAGGCCUCAAUUUUGUACCAAGAUAAUCAUGAAAUUAAAUUAAUAAAAGUUAUCCAAUCUUCUGCUAAGUCUGGCAAUUCCUCCCCGUUGGCCAAUUCUGGUCUUGCCAAAUUUACUAAUCCAGGGAUGUCGAUGUUAUUAUAUAUAGUGUCAUGAUUUCAUUUUUAUCGGUGGGAAUGGUAGCUUUUAACAUAGUAAUCGCCAUUUUUCUGUAUUUAUGUGUUAGUAGUGUUGUUGUUCAGAUAAUUGUGGUUUACAAUGAAGUGGGUAACCAUCCGAUAAUGAUAUAUGAAACUAUAAUUUUUUGUCAUUUAAGAGUAUGCAGUUCCUUUUCCAAAUUUCCUUUGCACACUUAAUUGAAAAUCUAUCAUGGAACUACCGGAAGAUUGUUUUACUAUGAAGUUACUGACCAUGGGUCUUUGUUCCCAUUUUCCAACUCCACUGGCUUACUGCUACCACAUUUUACAAUUGAAAUUUAUUUUUCAAGCUUAUUAUUUCUUUGCCUUUUGCCUUUUGUUUUGCACUUCUUCUUAAUUUGGCUCUAUCUACUGGCCUAUGCGCUGAUUUAGGCUGUUUGUUCUCGCAUUGUUUUUCUUUUUCUUCUUUUAUUUACUUUUUACGUCCACUUCUUUUAUAAUUUUAAUCUGUCUGGUGGAUUAUGUGUAGGUUUAGGUUAGCCACUCUAAUAUGUCGAUUCUCCGCAUUCUCCAGGAUGCAAGUUCUACCAGUGUUCAUGCAUAUUGGAACUGACUGAAGAUAUUAGGCUGCAGAAACGUAGGAAAGUAGCAACGCAAGCAAUCACAGUCAAAGAUUUCAUACCUCGAGGGUAUGAGAGGAAUGUUGUUGUGUGCGUACCCCGGAUCUGGGAGAACAUGGAUCAAGAACAAAAUGUCUCUGAACUAGGGUUCAUUGUUGUGGAACAACUGGUACCUUCUGAACAUUGAGGUACUUGAUCCCUCCAUCAUUGCCUACACAUGAGGUCCAUGAGUUAGCAUGUCCUUAUCAUCAAAUUAUUUAUCAAUACUUACUCAUCCUUUAGAUAACGGAAAUUAUAACAGUACAUAUAUCAUCUAAGCUCAUUUAGUUAUCAAUCAGUGUUUGCUCUACUUUCAAAAUGCUUUACCUUUCAGUAUAUUGCAGAAUUACUUGCUAUCUGAAUAUUUACAUAAUUGAUUUAGCCAUCAUCGCUUGCUAACUGAAUAUUUACAUCCUCGAUUUUGCCAUCGCCGUCUGCACACAAAAUGCACGCAAUUAGCUUGGCAUGCAUGCUCUAUUUUUUGUUUUUUAAGACAUAAUACAGCUAACAGUAUGUUUCAGCCUAUAGUGCCACUAAUUGUCGGAAGAGCUACUGGUCGUUUAUACAUGAUGCACGGUAAGGUUAGGCCGCAUGGUCAAAUUCAAGAAGAAACUGAAGAAUGGCUAGAUCUACAGGCUGAAUCUUUCAUGAUUGUCGCUGCCCGGCCCAAAUGCAAGACACCACAUCAUUGUAGAAAGACAUGGGCCUGCCAGCCUGAUUCACUCAUCUAGAAAUCUGGCCGCCACUUGAAGCGCAAGCUCAUAUAGCAAAACACUAUUUUGACAGCCGCUGCCAAGGCUGCACAUGCAACGCGUGACCAGAACAAGCACAGAAGGAAAGAAGGCAGCUAGGAGGCUGCACACAUUACACACAAGGCUUCUUUUCAGACAACCAUUAAGUUAUCUUAUGUAAUGCUCCUUAAGGUGGACAAUAACUACAAAUUCAUGUAUAAUUAGCCAGCUUAGUCAGCACUGCGUCACCAGUCUAUUAGAUGUACCUCGAGACUAUCUUAUGUGAUGCUACUUAAAAUUGGUGUUCUUGCAGGCUUCUGAGAUUUAGCACCUCGAAGAAAUUUAUGGAUGUUUAUUUA